ACUCCUACGGGAGGCAGCAGUGGGGAAUAUUGGACAAUGGGCGGAAGCCUGAUCCAGCAACGCCGCGUGAGGGAUGACGGCCUUCGGGUUGUAAACCUCUUUCAGCACCGACGAAGCGACUCUUUUGGGGAGUGACGGUAGGUGCAGAAGAAGGACCGGCCAACUACGUGCCAGCAGCCGCGGUAAUACGUAGGGUCCGAGCGUUGUCCGGAAUUAUUGGGCGUAAAGGGCUCGUAGGCGGUUUGUCGCGUCGGGAGUGAAAACACUGGGCUUAACUCAGUGCUUGCUUUCGAUACGGGCAGACUGGAGGUAUGCAGGGGAGAACGGAAUUCCUGGUGUAGCGGUGAAAUGCGCAGAUAUCAGGAGGAACACCGGUGGCGAAGGCGGUUCUCUGGGCAUUACCUGACGCUGAGGAGCGAAAGUGUGGGGAGCGAACAGGAUUAGAUACCCUGGUAGCGAGUA
rnacentral:rRNA from 1 species